AAAUAACUCGGUGCAAACCAAAAUAAUUCUAUGGUGGCGCCUGCACCAGCAACACGUUCACCCAGUGCUGCAGUUUCAGGUGUGUCUACAGAGGAUUCCAUGCAUAAAGUUAAGGAGAUGAUUCUUAAUGAAAGGUACAAAGGGCAUGUGUGGCAGCCUUGUUAUUGAUUAGCCAUGAAGGAAAGCUGUGUUUCUGUGGGCACAGGGGCUGUCACACCACCAGGGCACAGCUGAGCAAUAACGAGCGCCAGGUGUUGGCUCCAUCAUUCACUGCCCUGCGAGAGAGGUGAGCAGAGAUCCUGCUCAGCCAGGCUGCACAAAUACUGGGGGUUGUGCUCUUUCUCUAGGACCAUGAUGAAUUCUCAUCAUGGCAUUUUAUUCCUUUGUCUGGAAAGGAUUAUUGCCUAGAUGAACC
rnacentral:lncRNA from 1 species